GGAGGAAAAGAAACCACCAGGGAUUGCCUCAGUAGCGGCGAGUGAAGCGGCAAAAGCUCAAAUUUGAAAUCUGGCGUCUUUGGCGUCCGAGUUGUAAUUUGAAGAAGGUAUCUUUGGGCCCGGCUCUUGUCUAUGUUCCUUGGAACAGGACGUCACAGAGGGUGAGAAUCCCGUGCGAUGAGAUGACCCGGGUCUGUGUAAAGUUCCUUCGACGAGUCGAGUUGUUUGGGAAUGCAGCUCUAAGUGGGUGGUAAAUUCCAUCUAAAGCUAAAUAUUGGCGAGAGACCGAUAGCGAACAAGUACAGUGAUGGAAAGAUGAAAAGAACUUUGAAAAGAGAGUGAAAAAGUACGUGAAAUUGUUGAAAGGGAAGGGCUUGAGAUCAGACUUGGUAUUUUGCAUGCUGCUCUCUCGGGGGCGGCCGCUGCGGUUUACCGGGCCAGCAUCGGUUUGGAGCGGCAGGAUAAUGGCGGAGGAAUGUGGCACGGCUUCUGCUGUGUGUUAUAGCCUCUGACGAUACUGCCAGCCUAGACCGAGGACUGCGGUUUUUACCUAGGAUGUUGGCAUAAUGAUCUUAAGUCGCCCGUCUUG
rnacentral:rRNA from 1 species